rnacentral:lncRNA from 1 species
UGUAUGUAACUUCAUUUAUUUUACUUUUUAUUUUAUUUUUUUUAUUAUUUUACUCAAGUCAUAUGUUUUCUUAUUUGUUUUAGUGUCUGCAAUUAUCUGUCAAAAAUUAGAGAAGUGUAAUAAAUCCUGCCACAUCUAUUGUGCUUCGAUGUGUAUCUCUUCUUUCCUCACUUGGGGCUGUAUCUAUUUUGAUGUCCUGUUUUCCAGCACAGGGGAGAAAACUUUGGAAGAAUUCUCAAGAAAGGAGGCACAGUGGAGUUUGAUAACAAUUGUGUGGAGGUUAUGGCCUGAUGAAACUGUGGAUCUGUGUUGGAUUUGGCCAUGCCACCUGCCUUGGAUCUCUGGAAUCACUCCCUCUUACCAUUCCAUGGCACACAGCUCCUAGUAUGAUAAUAUGCUUUGGAGUAAGGGCCAGUGUACCUUCACGAAAAUUGGUGUG